rnacentral:lncRNA from 1 species
GACCCUUGGGCUGAGAGCGUGGAUACUUCGGGGGCCACCUGGAGCUCGACUGGCCGCCCGAUCCACCGCCCUGCCUUUUCUUGCUUUUGUCCUUGUCGUACAACUCACGGUCCUCACGCUCGCAAGCGUUCCCGUGCUCGACCCAUAGGGCGCGAUCUAGUGCUGCCGCCAGUGUAGGGAACUUGAAGGCAUGCACCAACUUGAACACUCCGGGCCGAAGCCCUCGAACAAAACAAUCCGCCCGGUCCUGCUCGGUCGUCGCCACGUCCGGGACGCAGCUCAGGAGAUGGGUGAACUCCCGCUCGUACUCCCGAACCGUGCGAUUGCCUUGCUUGAGCUUGCGAAAGUCUUCCCGCAUCCUUCUCUUGUCGCUGUCGGGGAAGUACUCGGCGAACAUCAGCUUGCGGAACUCCGCCCAAUCAAUCGGGGGAAGCUCCGGGGAUCGGUCCUGCUUGACUCUCCUCCACCAAGUCCUGGCCCGCUUCUCGAAGCAAUGCGCGGCCAAGUUCACCUUGUCCCUCUCCAAGGUGAAAAUGUCCUCAAAUAGAGUCUCCAUAGCUGCCAGCCAAGACUCCACUGCAGCUGGAUCCACCACCUCUCCGUCGAAAGUAGGCGGGCGAAACUUCGUGAAUCUCGUGAGCGCCACAUAGCCACGCUCACGCUCCGCCUCCUCAGCCACCAUCGCGGGGGUAGGAGAACUCGAACUAGCCGGAGGAAUAUCCACCGGUGGGGGUUGCGCCGCCACCGGAACCGAAACGCCACCCGCACCCUCGGCCGCAUCAGGGACACGCGCCGCAGGCGCAGGCGGACCGCGGUCUAGAUCCGCUGCCGCAGCCGCCGCCGCAGCCUGCUGCUCCAACAGCUCCUGAAUCCUAUCGAACCGUCCUGUGAGCGUCGCGACUUGCGCUCGCAACUCCUGCACCUCAGUAGGCCCAGCUGGCACUGGCGCCACUGGAGGCACGGCUGGCCCGGGCACCUCUUGAGGUGGUGCCGGAGCGGUCCUACGCACGUAGCGUCUCUUUGGUGCCAUAGCUCCUGAAACGCAAACAGUUGGUUAAUUACUUAACCCAACAACAUCGUCGUAAACACGAAACAUAACGGUUAAAGAACAUCAAUCAGGCGGUAAGCUUGCAAGUGUCUUAAUUCUCGACUCUCGGCAUCGUGUUGUCGGCCGCCAACACAAUCACCUUAAGCCAAAAAUUAAUACCACUUGAAUCAUCUCUAGCCAUAACUAGAGUAACAACACCAACUCCAAACCCAAUCAAUUAGCUUCCGCCGCGUCAUAGGUUCACGUCGCACUCACGCACCUAUAACCUUAGGGUUAACCAACCUAGAGUCUCCUAGGUCAUCCUAGACUCUCUCUUUUGCUUGCUCUUAACUCGCUCUGAUACCACUUAACUGUCACGCCCCAACCGCGCGGCCCGAAAACGGUACCAAUUUGGUCCGGUUCGAGGGCGGCGGCGCGACCGCCGAACGGACGGAGUUUCCCCUGUCCGCCCAAGGCUAAGCAACAGAUUGUGUACAACAAGUCCCCAGGAAUACAACUUGAAUACAUACACAAUCAAACAACGAUAAACGAGAGCACAAACAGUGCUACAACCAACUAGAGCAAGCGAUACAAGUAAAACCAUACAAGUAUACAAAAGAGAGAAACUUAGCUAAUUGAGACAUCAUUGAAACGUUUAAACCUCUUUUAACAUCAUUUAAACUUUAAACUUUGAUACAACUUGCAUUCUUUAUCCAAAAUGAAUAUACAUCAUAAGCUCUCCAAAACCUCACCCUAUACAACAUCUACUCUCAAAAUGUAUAACCAAAAGUACAGGGUAGAGCUAAUGCAAGUAGGGAAGGUAAAGCUAUCAACCAACUGCUAGGGCGCUAUGCCCUUGCCGCGAUCCAUCGACGAAGGCCCGCUGUCCUGUGUACCUGUACCCCCAAAGCCACACGGGGGUGAGAACUACGAAUAGUUCCCAGUGGGUUCGGCCGCCGACUCCGCCGAUCUACCCACUAGGUCUCAAGUAGGCAUAGAGAGAUAUAUAUGCAAUAUAUAUAUAAAACUAAGCUGAACGGAAAGCGGGUAUGUAAACAACUAUAUCAAGCUAUGCCUCAAUCUGGAAUCAUGAAUGCAUGAACAAUAAACAAAGCUGGGUAAGUAAGCAACUAUCAACAUCUACAACAGCUAUCAUAGUAACUAUAAAACAUGCUACUAGGUAAGCAAGUAAGCUGAUAUGAACAAUGAAUAGCUACUAUGAACAUCAAUCAUGGGUAAGACUCAAUGGGUAACCCAAUCCUCGAGUGAACGCAAGGUUCACAAGCAAGGCUCACAUAUCAAUCUCCGAGGGAUGCCUAGCUGGUCGAUCCCCGAGUAUGCCUGCGGAUAACAAGCGGCUAUCCGAGCAGCGAGCAGGGCUGCCUCUCUAGUGACCAAACUCCGGAGCGCACAACUUGAGGGGAGCGACCCCACCAAACGCAGACAGGCAAUGUGAGCAAGAUCAUCUCACGAGCAACAACAAUAACCCUUUGAGGGUAAUAUCAUCAUGAAAGCAAUGUAUACUUGUACCCAAUCUCAUAGUGUCUCGACUACACUAAAGUUCUCAUAUCAAGGUAAUCAACAAUCAUAUGCCACUCAUCAUAGUUUUCUAACUAGGUGCCACUCAUCAAUUUUGACUCAUUAUCAACACUAGUUUCAUCAUACUAGUUCUUUAGCAACAUAAGCAUUGAUCCUCUCAUAUAGGGUUAAAUCUCAUCAUAUAGUUUUCAUCAUACAACCAUCAUGCAUACUAGAUCAUGAACCAACCAAGCAAAAUAUAUUGAGCUACUAGCAUGCAAGUAUAAGCAUCAAUAAUCAUUUUCUAACCCUAUAUGUUUAUACACAAUAUGCAAAUAGAUCAAUUUAAACUUAGACAUAGAAGGUGGCCCGAUGACUUCGGUAUGGCACUCCCCCACCUUUGGCGAUGCCAAAAACACUCCGAGACGCGUUCUCGUGUUAGUCUUGUCGCCGCUUAAUUUUCGUUGGGUUAGCUUUAACCCUUUAGCACAUCAAAUGGCGAUAUCUUCACGCUCGAUCCUCGAAUCGACGAACCGUCUUCGCCUACGCGUUUAUAAGCAUGGAAAUUAGGUUUCUAACCCCUCAAAAGAGAUCAAACCCUUAUAUUUCCAAAAAUCCCAAAUCUAACCCUAGGUGUAGCAACAAUAGAGAAAUCAUGGUUUCAAGCUCCAAAUUUGGGAUUGAACCUUCUCUUAAGCUCCAAUGGUUUACAUUUGAACCAUCCUUAAGCAACAAAACCCUUUUUAAAACCUAGGUUUAGCAAUAAUGAGGAAAACCAUGGGUGCUAGCCUCAUUGUGAGCUAGAUCCAUCAUCUCUAAACUCAUUAGGUUCCAUUUGAACCAAUUAAAGCAACAAAAACCUCCCAAACCCUAGAAAUCCAAAACUAGGGUUAGAGCUUACCUCAAGGGUUUGCUCCAAAGCAAGCCCUAGCUUGAAAACGUGGAGGAGGAGAGCUUCUUGAUCUUUUCCUCCCUUUCUCUCCUUCUCUUCUUCUUCUUUCUUCCUCUCUUCUUCUUCUCCUUCUUUUCUCCUUCACCCGGUUAGAGAGAGAGAGAGAGCUAGAGAGAGAGAAAGGCUGUGGGAGUGAGAGAGAAGAGAGCUGAGUGUGAGAGGAAUAAGUCCUCUAUUGUAACAAAAUGCUAAAAAGCUCUCCUUUUAUCAGAUUUUGCAACUUAACCCGCUGCCUGCGCGCCCUUGUACCGGUACACGGGACCUUGUACCGGUACAAGGCCCUAAACCGAGCGCAAACCGAGCGUCGGGUUUCUCUGUUUCGCAGAGCUUGUACCGGUACAAGCCAGCCUUGUACCGGUACAGCGCCUGAAGCCUUCGAACCCGAGAGCUACGCAGCCUGGCUGCGAUGGUUGUACCGGUACAACCAUCACCCUUGUACCGGUACAGAAGCUCCAGAAUGCUGUUUUUCGAUCUGCUUCGAUUCCUUUUCGCGUCCAACAACGCUAAAGCUAUUCCAACACUUUUGGAACUCAUUUUUACUCUUCCUAACAUGUCGAAAUACCGAAUGGAACUUGUCCAAGCAUCCGAUUGCUCACUUUGGUCCAUUUGGCCAAAGUUAGCCAAUAUCGUCGAAUUUCGAUAUCUUACAUUCUCCACCCCUUAAAAGGAGUUUCGUCCUCGAAACAACUCAACUCUUAACUUGAACUUAAACGCUUACCUCAAUCCUCGAACAGGUGAGGAUGGUUCGCUUUCAUCUGAUCCUCAAGCUCCCAAGUGGCUUCACGAUCAUCGUGAUUGCUCCACCGAACUUUAACAUAGGGAAUUUCUCGAUUCCUUAACUUACGCACCUCUCGAGCCAAAAUCUCUACCGGAAACUCUUCAUAGCUCAAAUCGUCUUGAAGCUCCGGUGGCUCAUAUAGCAUGGCAUGCUCGGGGUCGUGAAUAUACUUGCGAAGGUUGGAGACGUGGAACACAUUGUGCACACCCGCAAGCUUCGGGGGCAAUGCAAGUCGAUACGCCACCGUCCCAACUCGCUCCAAGAUCUCGUAGGGCCCGAUAUAACGAGGACUUAGCUUUCCUCGUACCCCAAACCUUUUCACGCCUCGCAUCGGUGAAACCUUUAAGAAUACGCGGUCACCCACCGCGAACUCCAAAUCUCGCCGGCGCCUAUCCGCAUAGCUUUGCUGUCUCGACUGCGCCGUGAGCAAUCUUUUGCGAGCAAGGCGGACUUUCUCCUCCGCUUCUCGCAACACAUCCGGGCCGAACUCCGUACGCUCACCUACAUCACUCCAAUGUAUAGGAGAUCGGCAUACCCGUCCAUAGAGGGCCUCGAACGGUGCCAUUCCCACACUAGUAUGAUAACUAUUGUUGUAGGCGAACUCGGCCAUCGGUAGGUGAUCACACCAAUUUCCUUUAUAGUCAAUGACACACGCUCGCAACAUAUCCUCCAGAGUUUGAAUAGUCCUCUCUGUUUGCCCAUCAGUCUGAGGAUGAAACGCUGAGCUAAAAUCGAGCCGUGUGCCAAGGGCUUCCUGCAGGCUCUUCCAGAAAUGCGAAGUGAACCGGGGGUCACGAUCCGACACGAUCGAUUUCGGCACCCCAUGCAGUCUCACUAUCUCGUCAAGGUACACCUGCGCUAACUUGUCACCCGACCACGUGGUGUGAAUCGGCAAGAAAUGAGCCGACUUCGUCAAUCGGUCCACAAUUACCCAAAUUGCAUCGUGGCCGCCCUUUGAGCGGGGUAAGCCGACCACGAAGUCCAUCGAGAUAUCCUCCCAUUUCCAAACGGGGAUUGGUAGACUUUGAAGCUUUCCCGCUGGGAAUCGAUGCUCGGCCUUCACCUGUUGGCAGGCUAGGCACUUUGCCACAAAGCGUCCAAUGUCGCCUUUCAUUCCCGGCCACCAAUAGUGCAUUUUUAGGCCUUGAUACAUCUUGGUGCCGCCCGGGUGGCCAGCAUACGGGGACCAAUGCGACUCCUGUAAUAUAAGCUUGCGAAGCUCUUCAUCAGCGGGUACACACCUACGGUUCCGAAACCGAAGCGUACCAUCGGCGUCAACAUUGAACUCGCCACCAUGACCUUCCUCGAUGUUUCGCCGCACCUUUUGGAGUUCUGGGUCCGCAAGUUGCAGAUCUUUAAUCCUCUCCAACAAGGUCGGUUGGACAACGAGUGCCAUUAACUGAGUCGGGACCUCGGGAGCAACCACUUCUAGGUCCAAUCGCUCCAUAUCCAACCCUAGGGGUUUCUGCCGGGUAACAUCGAAAGCAAGGUUCUUUACCGUCUUCCUACUCAGCGCAUCAGCGACCACAUUGGCUUUCCCGGGGUGGUAAAGGAUAUCAACAUCAUAAUCCUUAAGCAAUUCCAACCACCGCCGCUGUCGCAUAUUGAGCUCUUUCUGUGUGAACAGAUACUUCAAGCUUUUAUGGUCGGUGUAGAUCUCGCAAUGAGCACCAUAUAGAUAAUGUCUCCAAAGCUUCAAGGCAAAGAUCACCGCCGCCAACUCUAGAUCAUGAAUGGGGUAGUUCUUUUCAUAGCCUUUCAACUGACGGGAUGCAUAAGCAAUAACCUUCCCGCCCUGCAUCAGCACACACCCCAAGCCCAAAUAAGAAGCAUCACUGUAGACGACAUAGUCCUGUCCUUGCACCGGUAAAGCGAGUACCGGAGUCGAAGUUAACCUUUGCUUCAACUCUUUAAAGCUCCGGUCACACUCGUCGCUCCAAACAAACUUGAUGCCUUUUUGGGUCAAACGGGUAAGUGGAGUCACAAUCUUCGAGAACCCCUCCACAAACCGUCGAUAAUAACCGGCUAGGCCCACAAAGCUACGGACCUCGGUAACGUUCGUCGGGCGCGGCCAAUUUUCAAUAGCCUCAACUUUCCUCGGGUCAACAGAAACUCCACCCUCGGAAAUAACAUGCCCGAGAAACGCAACUUCCCUAAGCCAAAAGUCGCACUUCCUCAGCUUUGCGUACAACUUCUUCUCCCGAAGGAUCUGUAGUACCUUGCGCAAAUGCUCCGCGUGCUCCUCGUCGCUACGCGAAUACNAAUCGGUCUCCUGGUCUGGCGGCAUACCCGACAACUCCGCGGGAAACACAUCGGGGAACUCCCGCACAACCGCCAACUCCUCAAGGGUCGGAACCACUCGAUCAAUCUCCACCACGGUCGCCAAAUAGGCUGAGCAACCGCUGUUCACCAGCUUCCUCGCUCUAGUCGCCGAUACUGUUGCGGCGAAGUACGAGCUCUUACAAGCUCGAUAGGUGAACUCUUCUUGUCCCGGCUCCCGAAAUGUGAUAACUCGAGUCGGGCAAUCGAUCGAUACAUAGUACUUCGAGAGUCAAUCCAUGCCCAAUAUGACAUCGAACUCUUUCAGCUUCUUGAGCACCAACAAGUCGAUUGGCAUAACCCAGUCAUUCACUUGCACUGGACAUGCCAAACAUCGCUUCCUAACCAGAAAGGAUCGCCCGGGACCCUCAACAUGCCAAACGUGCUCCCCAAGACCAUACUCGAUAUCAUGCGCUCGUGCAAAUGAUCGACUAAUGAACGAAUGUGAAGCGCCUGUAUCAAAUAAAGCUCAAGCUCGAACAUCUUUAAUCAAAAUUAUACCUGCCACAACAUUGCGCUCGCCGGCCUCUGAAGGCUCCUCAAUGUGAACGGGUGCGGCAUACAUCCUCCCGCUCGGCGCUGAUCGUGCAGGCUCUUGUUGGCGUGGCGCUGCCGCUCGUCCAGUAGAUGCUGCAGGAGGGGGCAGAGCAUAGCGAGCUGGAACCGCCGGGGCCGAUGCAGUGGACAUCGCGGGCGAAGCUCCUCCCUGAGGACAGUCGCGGAUCUGAUGUCCCGCUUGCUCGCACUUGAAGCAUCUCCCUCGGCGAUGAUCACAUGCACCCGGUCGGUGGUCACCGCCGCAGAAAACGCACCGCUCAGCACCUCGACCCUUGGGCUGUGAGCGUGGAUACUUCGGGGGCCUCCUGGAGUUCUACUGGCCGCCCGAUCCACCGCCCUGUCUUUUCUUGCCCUUGUCCUUAUCCUUGUCGAGCGCUUCACGGUCCUCACGCUCGCAAGCGUUCCCGUGCUCGACCCAUAGCGCGCGAUCUAAUGCUCCCGCCAAAGUGUGGAACUUGAAGGCAUGCACCAACUUGAACACUCCGGGCCGAAGCCCUCGAACAAAGCAAUCUGCCCGAUCCUGCUCUGUCGUCGCCACGUCCGGGACACAACUCAGGAGAUGGGUGAACUCCCGCUCGUACUCCCGAACUGUGCGAUUGCCUUGCUUGAGCUUGCGAAAGUCUUCCCGCAUCCUUCUCUUAUCGCUGUCGGGGAAGUACUCGGCGAACAUCAGCUUGCGGAACUCCGCCCAAUCAAUCGGGGGAAGCUCCGGGGAUCGGUCCUGCUUGACUCUCCUCCACCAAGUCCUGGCCCGCUUCUCGAAGCAAUGCGCGGCCAAGUUCACCUUGUCCCUCUCCAAGGUGAAAAUGUCCUCAAAAAGAGUCUCCAUAGCAGUCAGCCAAGACUCCACCGUCGCUGGAUCCACCACCUCUCCGUCGAAAGUAGGCGGACGAAACUUCGUGAAUCUCGUGAGCGCCACAUAGCCACGCUCACGCUCCGCCUCCUCAGCCGCUGCCGCGGGGGUAGGAGAACUCGAACUAGCCGGAGGAAUAUCCACCGGUGGGGGUUGCGCCGCCACCGGAACCGAAACGCCACCCACACCCUCGGCCGCAUCAGGGGCGCGUGCCGAAGGCGCAGGCGGACCGCGGCCUGGAUCCGCUGCCGCAGCCUGCUGUUCCAGCAGCUCCUGAAUCCUAUCGAACCGUCCUGUGAGCGUCGCAACCUGCGCUCGCAACUCCUGCACCUCAGUAGGCCCAGCUGGCACUGGCGCCACUGGAGGCACGGCUGGCCCGGGCACCUCUCGAGGUGGUGCCGGAGCGGUCCUACGCACGUAGCGUCUCUUUGGUGCCAUAGCUCCUGAAACGCAAACAGUUGGUUAAUUACUUAACUCAACAACAUCGUCGUAAACACGAAACAUAAUGGUUAAAGAACAUCAAUCAGGCGGUAAGCUUGCAAGUGUCUUAAUUCUCGACUCUCGGCAUCGUGUUGUCGGCCGCCAACACAAUCACCCUAAGCCAAAAAUUAAUACCACUUGGAUCAUCUCUAGCCAUAACUAGAGUACAACACCAACUUCAAACCCAAUCAAUUAGCUUCCGCCGCGUCAUAGGUUCACGUCGCACUCACGCACCUAUAACCUUAGGGUUAACCAACCUAGAGUCUCCUAGGUCAUCCUAGACUCUCUCUUUUGCUUGCUCUUAACUCGCUCUGAUACCACCAACUGUCACGCCCCAGACCGCACCACCCGAAAACGGUACCAAUUUGGUCCGAUUCGAGGGCGGCGUGCGCGACCGCCGAACGGACAGAGUCUCCCCUGUCCGCCCAAGGCUAAGCAAUGGAUUGUGUACAACAAGUCCCCAGGAAAAACAACUUGCAUUCAUACACAAUCAACAACGAAGCGAAAGCACAAACAGUGCUAUAACCAAUUAGAGCAAGCGAUACAAGUAAAAUCAUACAAGUAUACAAAAGAGAGAAACUUAACUAUUUAAACAUAUUUGAAACAUUAAACCUCUUUCGAUAUCAUUUAAACUUUAAACAUUUAAUACAACUUGCAUUCUUUUUCCCAAAAUGAAAAUACAUCAUAUGCUCUCCAAAACCUCACCCUAUACAUCAUCUACUCUCAAAGCAUAACCAAAAGUACAGGGUAUAGAGCUAAUGCAAGUAGGUAAAGUAAGCUAUCUACCAAAAGCUAGGGCGCUAUGCCCUUACCACGAUCCAUCGAUGAAGGCCCGCUGACCUGUGUACCUGUACCCCCAAAACCACACGGGGGUGAGAACUACGAAUAGUUCCCAGUGGGUUCGGCCGCCGACUCCACCGAUCUACCCACUAGGUCUCAAGCAGGCAUAGAGAGAUAUAUAUAUAUGCAAUAUAUAUAAAACGGAGCUAAACUGAAAGCGGUAUGUAAACAACUAUAUCAAGCUAUGCCUCAAUCUGGAGUCAUGAAUGCAUGAACAAUAAAUAAAGCUGGGUAAGUAAGCAACUAUCAACAUCUACAACAACUAUCACAGUAAGCUAUAAACAUGCUACUAGGUAAGCAAACAAGCUGAUAUGAACAAUGAAUAGCUUCUAUGAACAUCAAUCAUGGGUAAGACUCAAUGGGUAACCCAAUCCUCAAGCGAACACAAGGUUCACAAGCAAUGCUCACAUAUCAAUCUCCUAGGGAUGCCAAGCUGGUCGAUCCCCGAGUAAGCCUGCGGAUAACAAGCGGCUAUCCGAGCAGCGAGCACGGCUGCCUCUCUAGUGACCAAACUCCGGAGCGCACAACUUGAGGGGAGCGACCCCACCAAGCGCAGACAGGCAAUGUGAGCAAGAUCAUCUCACGAGCAACAACAACCCUUUGAGGGUAAUAUCAUC